ACACAUUUAGCAUAAAAUUCAAUGCUUUAAGUUUCCAUCUUAACUAUCUAGUUAAACUAGAAUGUGUA
rnacentral:tRNA from 1 species